rnacentral:lncRNA from 10 species
GAAAAUGAUCAGGAUAUAAACCCAGGCAUUCGAGCUGGCAACGGCUACCCUCUUUGGGUCCCCUCCCAUUUUAUGGGAGCUCUGUUUUCACUCUAUUAAAUCUUGCAACUGCACACUCUUCUGGUCCGUGUUUGUUACAGCUUGAGCUGAGCUUUCACUCGCCGUCCACCACUGCUGUUUGUCGCCGUCACAGACCCACCGCUGACUUCCACCCCUCCGAAUCUGGCAGGGUGUCUCAUGUGCUCCUGAUCCAGCGAGGUGCCCAUUGCUGCUCUGGAUUAGGCUAAAGGCUUGCCAUUGUUCCUGCACAGCUAAGUGCCCGGGUUCAUCCCAAUUGAGCUGAACACUAGUCGCUGGGUUCCACGGCUCUCUUCUGUGACCCACAGCUUCUAAUAGAGCUCUAACACUCACUGCAUGGCCCAAGGUUCCAUUCUUUGGAAUCUGUGAGGCCAAGAACCCCAAGUCAGACAACAAGAGGCUUGCUACCAUCUUGGAAGCAGCCCGCCACCAUCUUGGAAGUGGCCUGCCACCAUCUUGGGAGCUCUGGAAGCAAGGACCCCCAGUAACAUUUUGGCAACCACAAAGGGAUCUCCAAAGCAUUUGUCUCUUCCAGAAUCAAAGCUGUAAAACUACAAAUCGAUCUUCAAAUGGAGCCCCAGAUGCAGUCCAUGACUAAGAUCUACCACGGACCCCUGGACUGGCCUGCUAGCCCACGCUCCAAUGUUGAUGACAUCGAAGGCGCCCCUCCCAAGGAAAUCUCAACUGCAUGACCCCUACUACGCCCCAAUUCCGCAGGAAGCAGUUAGAGCAGUCAUUGGCCAACCUCCCCAACAGCACUUGAGUUUUCCUGUUGAGAGGGAGAACUGAGAGACAGGACUAGCUGGAUUUCCCAGGCCAACUAAGAAUCCCUAAGCCUAUCUGGGAAGGUGACCAUAUCCACCUUUAAACAUAGGGCUUGCAACUUAGCUCACACCCGACUAAUCAGAUAGUAAGGAGAGCUCACUAAAAUGCUAAUUAGGCAAAAACAGGAGGUAAAGAAAUAGCCAAUCAUCUAUUGCCUGAGAGCACAGCAGGAGGGACAAUGAUCAGGAUAUAAACCCAGGCAUUCAAGCCAGCAACAGCUACCCCCUUUGGGUCCCCUCCCUUUGUAUGGGAGCUCUGUUUUCACUGUAUAAAAUCUUGCAAUUGCACACUCUUCUGGUCCAUAUUUGUUACAGCUCAAGCUAAGUUUUCGCUUGCCGUCCACCACUGCUGUUUGUCGCUGUUGCAGACCCGCCGCUGACUUCCACCCCUCCGGAUCUGGCAGGGUGUCUGCUCUGCUCCUGAUCCAGUGAGGCGCCCAUUGCCACUCCGGAUCGGGCUAAAGGCUUGCCAUUGUUCCCGCAUGGCUAAGUGCCUGGGUUCAUCCUAAUCGAGCUGAACACUAGUAGCUGGGUUUCAUGGUUCUCUUCCGUGACCCACAGCUUCUAAUAGAGCUAUAACAUUCACCGCAUGGCCCAAGAUUCCAUUCCUUAGAAUCCUUGAGGCCAAGAACCCCAGGUCAGAGAACAAGAGGCUUGCUGCCAUCUUGGAAGCAGCCCGCCACCAUCUUGGGAGCUCUGGAAGCAAGGACCCCCUGGGUAACAACAUGACAACGAAUCACAGUGUGGGAUCCUGGAUUGGAUCUCAGACUGGGAAAAGAAUGUUAGUGGGAGAACUGGCCAAGUUCAAGUUAGGUCUAUAGAUUAGUUAAUAGUAUCAUGUCAGUGUUAAUUUUCUGGGUUAGAUAAGUAAGAUGCCAACAUUAGGGGAAUCUGGGUGUGGAAGGAAUGGGAAGUCUGUGUUCAUUUUUUUGCAAUUUUUUUUUUUUUUUUUUUUUUUUUGUAGAGAUAGAGUCACACUCUGUCACCCAGGUUGGAUUGCAGUGGCACAAUCAUAGCUCACUGCAGCUGAACUCCCGGGCUUAGGUGUGCCUUCUGUCUCAGCCUUCAGAGAAGCUAUGUCUAUAGGUGUGUGCCACCAUGCAGGGCUAAUUUUUUUAUUUUUUGUAGAGAUCAGGUCUCACUUUGUUGCCCAGGAUGGUCUUGAACUUCUGGCCUCGAGUGAUCCUCCCAUCUUGGUCUCCCAAAGUUCUGGGAUUACUGGUAUGAGCCACUGUGCCCAGUCUCACAACUUUUGUUAAAACCCUAAAAUCAUUUCAAACUAAGACGAUUUUUAAAAACGGGAAACUUUAAAAGAUACCAUUUUUAAUAUUGAAAUAUAGAUUAGGAACAAUCUAACAAAAUACAUACAAGACACCCAUUAGGAUGACUAUUAUUAAUUUUUUUAAUCAUUUCAAACUAACAUGAUUUUUUUAAAUGGGAAACUUUAAAAGAUACCAUUUAUAAUAUUGAAAUAUAGAUUAGAAACAACCUAACAAAAUAUGUACAAGACACCCAUUAGGAUGACAAUUAUUAAUUUUUUAAAAGAAAAGGAAACAAAUAUUGGUGAGGAUGUGGAGAAAUUCGAACCCUUUUGUAUUGGAAUGUAAAAGGGUGUAGCCACCAUGGAAAACAGUAUGAUGGUCCCUAAAAAAAUUAAAAAUAGGAGUACCAUUUGAUCCAACAAUCUAAUUCUGGGUACAUACACAAAAGAAUUGAAAGCAGGAGCUCAAACAGAUUUGUACACCCAUGUUCACAGCAGCAUUGUUCACAAUAGACAAAAGGUGGAAGCAACACAAAUGUCCAUGGAUGGAUGAAUGGAUAAAGAAAGUGUGGUGUAUACAUACAAUGGAAUAUAGAUCAGCCUUAAAAAUGAAUAAAAUUAUAAUACAUGUUACAGUAUGAAUGAACCUUGAAAACAUUCUGCUAAGUGAAAUACCAAAUCACAAAAGGACAUGUAUGAUUACACUUAUAUGAGGUACCUAGUCAAAUUCAUAGACACAGAAAGUAGAAUGGUGGUUACCAGGGACUGAGGGAGGAGGAAAAGGGGAGUUAUUAUGUAGUAGGUACAGAAUUUCAGCUUGGGAAAAUGAAAUCGUUCCGGAGAUGGAUGGUAGUGAGGGUUGCACAAUGAUGUGAAUUACUUAAUGCCACUGAACUGUGCACUUAACAAUGGUUAAGAUGUUAAAUUUUGUGUUGUGUAUAUAUUACAUUUUAAAAAAUGGUUUAAAAAUAUGCACAAGACCUAUGUGUAAAAUAAUGAUAAAACAUACAGAAAUAUAUGAAGAAAGAAAAGUAAAUGUAGAGCUAUCUCAUGGUCAUGAAUAAAAGUUGUCAGUUCUCCAUAUUGAUCUGUAGAUUCAACACAACUCUAGUCAAAAUCCAAAAGGUAUUUUUUAUAAAAUUAUUUUUGGCAAGAAGAUUCUAAAAUGUAUAUUGAAGGACAAAGGGCAUAAAUACCUAAGAAAAUUCUGAAGAAUAAUAAGAAUGAUGUGCCCUGCAAAUUAUCAAACUUUAUUAUAAAGUUAUAUGAAUUAAUGAGAAUAUGCCAACAUAGAAAUAGCUAAUAGAAAGCCCAGAAAUAUAUCCAUGCAAAUUUAAAGUUUUGAUAUCUGAGAGGGGAGUGGCAUGAUAGGUCAGUAAAUGGAAAAAUAAAUUAAAAUUAGAUUCAUCAUAUCAUAAACAAAAAUUCCAGCCCUAUUAAGGCCUUAAAUUUCAAGAACAACACUUUUAAUAGAAAAUAUAAGGGAAUCUAUUUCUGACUUUCAGGUGAGGAAGGAUUUCCUAAUCAAGACACAAAAACUAUGCUGUUUUGUGCUAACCACAAAAUUUUAAAUUUAUAAAUUUGACUACAGGUAUAUAAGAAUGUGUAAAUUGUAGUAUAUUUAUACAGUGAAAUACAAUAUAGCAAUAUUAAACUUGCCAAAUUUAGCAAUAUAGCAGUUUUAAGCAGACAAAACUUAAAAAUGAAAAUCUUAAAGUGGAAAAAAACUGGACACAACUGGAAGGAGAUAUUUGCACACACACACACACGCACACACACACCUAUAUCUGAAAAAGGACUAGGAUCAAGACUAUGUAAA